rnacentral:ribozyme from 1 species
CCAAAGUACCGGAGCAGAGGGUAGAUUCCGAAAAUACUUUCCCGGUUUCCCACGGGAGAAACUUCUUGGAGAAUAUGAAACUAGGUUGGUCUCG